UCCACGAUUUAUGGGAUUUGACAAAGAGUGACUUAUAAAAUUUUCACUUGAUCACGGAAACUGCUUCAGGAUAUUUACUUCUAUUCAAAUAUUAUAAAAACAAUUAUUAAAGCAAAAAUCUACCCUUGGGUUUUCGGGGCAUUGGAUUCUCACCAAUGUUUGCGUUACUCAAGCCGACAUUUCCCACGAUCCUUUUCAAUGCAACCGUUCCUCCACCUACCACUAGAUUGAUGCAGAUAAAAGUUCAUGUAAAUCCAUAUUGUCAUCCAAUGCGCCUUUACAGAAACAAGUUUUACUUUUGAUUCAAUGGUUGCAAUUUCAAACGGAUUGAUCUUUUAUUUUCUUCUUGAAUUUUGAUUUUUAAUUACCAAGUUUUUUUUACUGUAUCUUUUUUUUUGUAGGUUCUACAAAACAGAUUUAUAACGAAAUUAGUCAAGGAUCACCAUUAAAGGACUUUAUCGAACACAAGAGUAACCGUCAAUCGUCUUUUCAAAAUUCAAUGGAGUUUGAACAUCUGCGAAUAUACAAUUUAGCUUAUAAUCAAUUUUUUGCUACCAAUUCUAGGUUUCUUCCAUCGUCUUCAAAUCUUUGGAUUUUCUUUUUUCAAUGACUUGACUAACAAAUUUUCCAAUCUCUCUUUUUUCCUUUUUAAUUUUCGUCCCCAACUACUUGCAAUUGUAAUUCCAAUUCCUUAUUAUAUUUUAAUGUUGUCUUGUGUCAGGAACGAAGCUAUGGCUAAUCUGCUUAACUAUGGCUAACUUAAACAUCUUCAUAUCUAUUGCAUCAGUCUAUUAUCAUGUGCAAUGCAUCGGGUCAUGAAGAGCCUGAGUUGGAUUCUAGCUGAGGAGCCUUGCAUGGUCAAGAACUAGAUCAUGGCCAAUUCCAUUUGAUCAUCGAUCUUAUGAGCAUUUGAUUGAUCUCUCUAUUUGUUUUUUUUUGGGUGUAAUCUAACUAUGUAAGUACUCAACUUGCGUUUUGUAAGAAGGCUUAAAAACUUGUGUUUUUGUAAGAAACAUUUAAUUUACCAGACUAUUCAAUAUUACUUUUAAAA